rnacentral:rRNA from 1 species
CCUACGGGUGGCAGCAGUGGGGAAUAUUGGGCAAUGGGCGCAAGCCUGACCCAGCAAUGCCGCGUGAGGGAAGAAGGCUUUCGGGUUGUAAACUUCUUUGACAGGGGGAGAGCAGACGACGGUACCCUGAAAACAAGCCACGGCUAACUACGUGACAGCAGCCGCGGUAAUACGGAGGUGGCAAGCGUUGUCCGGAUUUGCUGGGUGUAAAGGGCGUGUAGCCGGGAAGUCAAGUCAGAUGUGAAAUCCGGAGGCUCAAACUCCGAAUUGCAUUUGAAACUGUUUUUCUUGAGUACGGGAGAGGCAGACGGAAUGCCUUGUGUAGCGGUGAAAUGCGUAGAUAUAAGGAGGAACACCAGUGGCGAAGGCGGCAUGCUGGACAGCAACUGACGGUGAGGCGCGAAAGCGUGGGGAGCGAACAGGAUUAGAUACCCGAGUAGUC